UCCCCGGUGGCGCAAUUGGCUAGCGCGUCUGACUGUUAAAUAACUGUUAUCAGGAGGUUGAAAGUUCGAGCCUUUCCCGAGGAG